CAGUCUCCUAACCCUCUCUGACUCUUAACCUCCACACAGGAAAGCAGCAGAAGCUCUGGGUCUCAGUCAUCCAGACCCAGUACAGGUCGCUGCACCCACUCCUUCAGGAGGUUUACGUGCAACACCCUACUAUGACGUGACUGACCUGGAGUCGAGAUCUGAUAUGUAGCCAGCCCAAGUUUCUUCUGCACCUCGAAUGGGCCUUGCCAUCUUGCUAGCAGCUUGCUGUCACUGCUUGGGAGAAGCACCAACACCUUCUGGCCAGGGCUGAAGGAUCUUUGGCGGGCUUUCUGGUCAUACCAACCCUUCUGUUGCUGCUGGACCUCCGCCAUAUGUGCUUGGGCAAGCUCACUCAUCUUCUGCAAACGCUCCCGCAUCUGUACAACAUAACAUAGGACACAACAUUAACAGCCUUCUCUCUCCCCUGGUCACCCUCCCAGAUCUCCCUUAACAAAGACAAAGGCCCUCGGACUUCAUGCCCAUAGAGGAGUUCGAACGGAGUGAAACCCGUUGAGGCCUGGGGGACUUCACGGUAUGCGAAAAAGAGAUAUGGCAGCCAGAGGUCCCAAUCUGUACCACUGCUGCUGACGAACUUCCUCAUGAUCUGCUUCAGGGUCUUAUUGAAGCGUUCUGUCAGCCCGUCGGUUUGUGGGUGGUAUGGCGUUGUUCUCAGGCUCCUGAUUCCCAGCAAUUGAUAGACCUGCUUUAAGAGAAUUGACAUGAAGUUAGUUCCCUGGUCAGUGAGAAUUUCUCGUGGAAAACCCAUUCUUUUUUUUUUUUUUUUUUUUGAACACUUUAUUGAAAGGUUUUCCAAAAUACAAUAAUAUGACACAAUCAAACAAGAUAUCUCAACCGGAUUAAAAGGGAACACAUACAGACAGAAUGACAAUACAGAUACAAACACAGACCAUAAAGGACUGCAGUAACAAAAAAAAAAAAAAACCACAACAACAAGAACACAAAUGUGUGCACAAGCUCCAUGCGCUUUUUAGUGUAGAACAGUUGGGGGAAGGGGAGAAAUUAUGCCAGUGUUAGGUUUUCUACACAGCUAAUGAAUACAGACCAUGUUUUAUCAAAUCUUUUAUAUGAACCACCCAGAUCCGAUCUUAACUUCUCUAUUUGAAGGGCCAUCAUAACAUCAUGUACCCACUGCACAAAUGAAGGAGGAUGAGUAGCCCUCCAUCUAAAAAGAAUUAGCCUGCGGGCUAGAAGUGAGGAGAAUGCAAUAGCAUUUGAUAGGUAUUUGUUAAGCUUAUAUUCUUCUGGAGUAAUUCCAAAUAUUGCUAUGUAUGGAUUAGGUUCAAUUGUUUUUUGGCAGAUUUCUGUAUAUACCUCAAAUAUCGAUGUCCAAAAGUCGUUUAGUGAGUUACAUGCUAAAGUAUAAGCAGUGAAAAUUUUUUAAUUGAAUUAAGCGGUGCCGGAUACAUAUGGAUGAUGAGUAGAUAUACCUAAUGGCUUCAUCCCAGGUGGCUUCUGGGAUGUCAACACUAAGGUCCUCUUCCCAUGCAGUUUUCCUCCUGAUUAGUGAUGGGGGGUUAAUCUGUUGAAUUAUGUCAUAUACUCUGGAGAUAUGACCUUUUAGGUUUCCUGUGACGUGUAGGCAUCCUGCUAAGUGGGAAUCUGGUGUGAGAUGAGGAAAUGUACUGAAAUUUAUCUUGGUAAAGUUUCUCACUUGUAGGUAUCUGAAAAAGUGAGUUUGAGGGAUGUUAAAGUUCCUGACUAAUGUGUCAAAUGACAUGAAAAUGUUAUCAAUAAAGAGAUCUCUGAAAAACCG